GGAAAUGUGGCUUAGUGGUAGAGUACUUGCCUUUCAUGCAUGAAGCCCUGGGUUCAAUUCCUCAGUACUA
rfam:Dipodomys ordii contig_13455, whole genome shotgun sequence.